GACGAACGCUGGCGGCGUGCUUAACACAUGCAAGUCGAACGAAGUGGCGAACGGGUGAGUAACGCGUAAUCAACCUGCCCUUCAGAGGGGGACACCAGUUGGAAACGACUGCUAAUACCGCAUACUGAAGGAGGGGAUUGCGUCUGAUUGGCUAGUUGGGGGGGUAACGGCCCACCAAGGCGAUGAUCAGUAGGCGGGCUGAGAGGGUGAACGGCCACAAUGGGACUGAGGCACGGCCCAGAACCCUUACGGAGGGAGCAGUGGGGAAUCUUCCGAAAUGGAGGGAAGUCUGACGGAGCAACGCCGCGUGAGUGAAGACGGCCUUCGGGUUGGAAAGCUCUGUUAAUCGGGACGCGGUACCGGAAGAGAAAGCCACGGCUAACUACGUGCCAGCAGCCGCGGUAAUUC
rnacentral:rRNA from 1 species